AUUCCAACCAAGAAAAGAAAGAGAACUUAGUGAAAAAGGUACAGGUCAAAUGAUUUUAAUUGUUUUCUUUAUUACAGGUAAAAUGACUUUUAUGAUUUUAAUUGUUUUUACAUUUGUCAUCUGAUUUUAAUUGUUUUCUUUAUUACAGGUAAAAUGGCUAUUAUGAAGUCAAUCAUUCGUGCAAGAGACAAGGGUGUAAAAUUUGAAGUACAUUGGAGUGCUGAAGACCAACUAAUUUUUUUCAUCAGGCUUGUGUCUCAAUAGAGGAUGGGUAUCUACCUAAAGUUACUUUUGUAGUGGUCCAAAAGAGACAUCACACCCGUCUCUUUCCUGUCAACCCCAAAGAGACCGAUAGAAGUGGAAAUAUUAUGCCAGGAACCGUGGUAGACACCAGCAUUUGUCACCCUAAGGAAUUUGAUUUUUACCUUACAGCCAUGCAGGAAUUCAGGGGACUAGUCGACCAACGCAUUAUCAUGUGCUGUAUGAUGAAAAUAAAUUCACUGCAGACCAGCUACAGAGUUUGACCAAUAACUUGUCCAUUCAGUUAUGCGAGGUGUACUCGAUCUGUCUCAAUAGUUCCUCCUGCCUAUUAUGCACACUUGCUAUUAUUCAUCAUGGGUGGAUGGGCGUUAUUUUGUUUAGUAUUGGUUAGAACUACUAGACAGCUUUUGGAUACAGUGGUCACUGGGUGUUGGUUGCUAUGGAUCUUUCGAGACUAAUAGUGUAUAUUGUUGUUGUACUUUUACUAAAUCAUGAAUAUGUUGUUGUAUAUUGUUGAUCAAAGAAUCAUAUAUUAAUGUUGUAUAUAUGAAGGAUUAAUGUUGUAUAUAAAUGGAUUCAUGUUGUAUAUAUCAAUGGAUUAAUGGUGUAUAACAUUGGAUUAAAGGAUGAAUUCAAUAUGAAUUUUACA